rnacentral:snoRNA from 1 species
UUGCCCGCCUCAAGCUGCCGGUGCUUGAGAGCGGCCAACACAGGGGGGUAGAAGAGCCUCUUCUCACUGAAACCUGGAGCAGAGCCCGCCCCUCUGCUUUGGAUCCUGUCGUGAGAAACACUU